rnacentral:rRNA from 1 species
UACGUAGGUGGCAAGCGUUGUCCGGAUUUAUUGGGCGUAAAGCGCAUGUAGGCGGCUUUGCAAGUCCCAUGUGAAAGCCCACGGCUUAACCGUGGAAGUGCAUGGGAAACUGCAGAGCUUGAGUACUUAAGAGGAUCGCGGAAUUCCCGGUGUAGAGGUGAAAUUCGUAGAUAUCGGGAGGAACACCAGUGGCGAAGGCGGCGAUCUGGGAAGAUACUGACGCUGAGGUGCGAAAGCGUGGGGAGCAAACAGG